AACGAACGCUGGCGGCAUGCCUGACACAUGCAAGUCGAACGAGAUCUUCGGGUCUAGUGGCGCACGGGUGCGUAACGCGUGGGAAUCUGCCCUUUGGUUCGGAAUAACAGUUGGGAACGACUGCUAAUACCGGAUGAUGACGAAAGUCCAAAGAUUUAUCGCCAGAGGAUGAGCCCGCGUAGGAUUAGCUAGUUGGUGUGGUAAAGGCGCACCAAGGCGACGAUCCUUAGCUGGUCUGAGAGGAUGAUCAGCCACACUGGGACUGAGACACGGCCCAGACUCCUACGGGAGGCAGCAGUGGGGAAUAUUGGACAAUGGGCGAAAGCCUGAUCCAGCAAUGCCGCGUGAGUGAUGAAGGCCUUAGGGUUGUAAAGCUCCUUUACCCGGGAUGAUAAUGACAGUACCGGGAGAAUAAGCUCCGGCUAACUCCGUGCCAGCCGCCGCCGUAA
rnacentral:rRNA from 1 species